CACCAGCCGGAACUGAUUUGUAUCGCCCUGCGUCAGACCGGUACAUAGCUCUGCAGGCACCUUAUCAAUUUCCUGUAAGUUAGCUUCUGUCUCUACCGAAUUGUAAAACAGCCUGUCUGGGGACCGUCACGGGGACACACACCUCUGGAAUCCAAUAACUCGUGACCCUCUAUGGGGCAAUGCCCAGCACCGACAGACAACUCAGGGAUCUCCUAGGCCCGUUUCAAAGGCUUUUGCACUUUCCCCGGGGCUUCAGCCUUCCCACCUGGUAGACAAGUCAGCUAAAGAUGGAAAUGUUAGAUUGUGCGCCGGAGGUCUUGACCUAGUAGGCCUGGAUGAAGCUGUAGGUCGGCCUGGCUCCUUGCCAGCGGCGACUCGGUCUCUGGGCCACACGGAGCCUGUUUUGUUCUCCGUGCUGCCUUGUCAUCCAGCUCUGGCAGGGGAUGUGGACACACAAAGAGAAGGAAUUUUCAAGGAGGGUCUGGCAGAGGGGCCAAGCUCUGUGCUCGGCUUUCUGAGAAGCCGUGUUCCUCACAUCCACGGGCCCCUCCUGUGGGCGGGGGGGUGGGGGCUCUCCCACGUCACCCUCAGUCUCUCCGGGAGGCAGAGAGCAGGUGGGCAUGGGGUUCCCUGUUCCUGCAUGCAGGGGCCUGAGCCCAGAUGUCUCUGAGGUUUCCUGAAGGCGGGUAAGUCCUCUCAUCUGGCUCCUGGAGAAUGAGAAGGGUCCAGUGCACAGCCCUGACUCCCGAACUCUUUCUGGAGCCUAAUAUGGCCUCGAUGAGGGCUCUGAAGUCCUUGCUGGUAGCCGCCCAUCUUCGAGACUUCCAAGGUGGAGGCCCUUCACCAGCUCGAGCAAGGCUGCCCGGGAGCUCCGUUGGUUGAGGCUGCCUGAAAUGUCUACUCGGGCACGAUGUGAGAUGCCCCCAAACUGGACAGCCCCUUCUCAGGUGACAGCGCAGGGAUUCUGGCCCCUCCAGGGUAAGUCUCCUUCCCUGUAGGGAUGUGCAGCCCAUUGACAGUCGUGAGGAUGCCUGGCUGGCGACCAGGACAAUGAGGGGAUCUGGGAUGUGAUCCAAGGCUCCCAGACAAGGUCGUCAUAGCGUGACCAGAGGUUGGCUUUCUCAUCGGUAGCCAUGGGUCUCACCCUAUACUCCCCUCAAAGCGUGCGCGUUAGAGACAAAUAUGUAUUUUACAAGAGAAAUUGACGCCACCUCUGCUGGUGCACCCUCCGACCUCUGCACUUCUAGCUCUCCUCCUCUUCCCUGUCUUAUGGGACACACUCUUUUAGACAUACCUCCAAACCUGACAAUCUCCUGGCUCCCACCUUCACACCUGUACACCUCUACCCUCUGAGCACCGAGGAAGCAAAGACCUCUCUGGUUACCAGGACCCAGAAUGAUAAAGAAAGACAGCAUGAUGCUCGUUCCGGCCGAGAAGGCUCCUCCCAUUGCCCAAGACUCACUGGCCGGGCCGACCACACUCAGGUUGCCCAGUGUCUGUGCUCACUCAAAGCCUGGUCCAUGGGCGUUCCCGACCCCUGAGGGCUUGCUGGACUUCACCCCCCUUGGAUGCCCUCUUCUAUUCUGCGUGUCCUUGAAGUGUGUUUCUGAGCUUGAUUGGGAUCUGUGUUCUUCUCAGGCUCUGUGCUCACCUUGAGCCAAGUCGCCUACAUCUCUGGUGGCAGCUGCAUCCGUAUUCUGGGUCUUGGCAUCCUGGUCUGGACAUCCCAUAGUUACCUCAAAUCUUGACAUGUCCAAAAUGGAAUCAGUCCCCUUUUGCCAAAGUCUGCUCUUCUCCUGCUUUCCUGCUUUCACUUACCUAUGGCCACUGACAUAACAGGCACACAGGCCCCCAGCCCAGACACGGGCUCAUCACAGAUACUUCCUUCUCCUUCACCUCCAACCUCCAGUAAGUCACUCAUCUUAAUGAUAUUUCUACCGUAUCUCUUCUGCACCCUCCCUUCCAUUUCUUCUGCCCUUGAUUGGUUCCGGAUGGCAUCGCUCUUUGCUUGCAUUAUUGCGAUUGCUUCUGAGCUGGUCUCCUUAUAAAAGCAACUCCCCCCAUGGGGCACCUGGGUGGCUCGGUCGGUUAAGUGUCUGACUUCGGCUCAGGUCACGAUCUCAUGGUUUGUGAGUCGGAGCCCCGUGUCGGACUCUGUGCUGACAGCUCGCGGAGCCUGGAGCCUGCUUCGGAUUCUGUGUCUCCUCCUCUCUUUGCC